GAUGAACGCUGGCGGCGUGCCUAAUACAUGCAAGUCGAGCGAACAGACGAGGAGCUUGCUCCUUUGACGUUAGCGGCGGACGGGUGAGUAACACGUGGGUAACCUACCUAUAAGACUGGGAUAACUUCGGGAAACCGGAGCUAAUACCGGAUAAUAUAUCGAACCGCAUGGUUCGAUAGUGAAAGAUGGCUUUGCUAUCACUUAUAGAUGGACCUGCGCCGUAUUAGCUAGUUGGUAAGGUAACGGCUUACCAAGGCAACGAUACGUAGCCGACCUGAGAGGGUGAUCGGCCACACUGGAACUGAGACACGUUCCAGACUCCUACGGGAGGCAGCAGUAGGGAAUCUUCCGCAAUGGGCGAAAGCCUGACGGAGCAACGCCGCGUGAGUGAUGAAGGUCUUCGGAUCGUAAAACUCUGUUAUUAGGGAAGAACAAACGUGUAAGUAACUGUGCACGUCUUGACGGUACCUAAUCAGAAAGCCACGGCUAACUACGUG
rnacentral:rRNA from 1 species